GAUGAGCAUGCGUCCCAUUAGCUAGUUGGUAGGGUAACGGCUUUGGGUAGGGGUCCUGAGAGGGAGAUCCCCCACACUGGUACUGAGACACGGACGAGGCAGCAGUGAGGAAUAUUGGUCAAUGGACGCAAGUCUGAACCAGCCAUGCCGCGUGCAUGGAUUGUAAACUGCUUAACACUCCUUCGUGAAGGAGCUUGACGGUAUCGUAAGAAUAAGGAUCGGCUAACUCCGUGCGUAAUACGGAGGAUCCAAGCGUUAAAAGGGUCCGUAGGCGGUCUAGUAAGUCAGUGGUGAAAGCCCAUCGCUCAACGGUGGAUACUGCUGGACUUGAAUUAUUGGGAAGUAACUAGAAUAUGUAGUGUAGCGGUGAAAUGCUUAGAGAUUACAUGGAAUACCAAUUGCGAAGGCAGGUUAUGACGCUGAUGGACGAAAGCGUGGGUAGCGAACAGGAUUAGAUACCCGGUAGUCCACGCCGUAAACGCAACUUCAGUGGCUAAGCGAAAGUGAUAAGUAUCCCACUGGGGAGUACGAACGCAAGUUUGAAACUCAACCGCACAAGCGGUGGAGCAUGUGGUUUAAUUCAUGAUACGCGAGGAACCUUACCAAGGCUUAAAUGCAGACUGACCGAUUUGGAAACAGUCUUUCGCAAGACAGUUUACAAGGUGCUGCAUGGUUGUCGUCAGCUCGUGCCGUGAGGUGUCAGGUUAAGUCCUAUAACGACGCAACCCCUGUUGUUAGUUGCCAGCGAGUCAUGUCGGGAACUCUAACAGACUGCCAGUGCAAACUGUGAGGAAGGUGGGGAUGACGCAAAUCAUCACGGCCCUUACGCCUUGGCUACACACGUGCUACAAUGGCCGGUACAGAGGCAGCCACUGGGUGACCAGGAGCGAUCUAUAAAGCCGGUCACAGUUCGGAUCGGAUCUGCAACUCGACUCCGUGAAGCUGAAUCG
rnacentral:rRNA from 1 species